rnacentral:rRNA from 1 species
UACGUAGGGUGCGAGCGUUAAUCGGAAUUACUGGGCGUAAAGCGUGCGUAGGCGGUUCGUUAAGUCAGCUGUGAAAGCCCCGGGCUCAACCUGGGAAUUGCGAUGGAGACUGCAAGGCUUGAAUCUGGCAGAGGGGGGUAGAAUUCCACGUGUAGCAGUGAAAUGCGUAGAGAUGUGGAGGAACACCGAUGGCGAAGGCAGCCCCCUGGGUCAAGAUUGACGCUCAUGCACGAAAGCGUGGGGAGCAAACAGG